rnacentral:rRNA from 1 species
UACAGAGGGUGCGAGCGUUAAUCGGAAUUACUGGGCGUAAAGCGUGCGCAGGCGGUGAUGUAAGACAGUUGUGAAAUCCCCGGGCUCAACCUGGGAACUGCAUCUGUGACUGCAUUGCUGGAGUGCGGCAGAGGGGGAUGGAAUUCCGCGUGUAGCAGUGAAAUGCGUAGAUAUGCGGAGGAACACCGAUGGCGAAGGCAAUCCCCUGGGCCUGCACUGACGCUCAUGCACGAAAGCGUGGGGAGCAAACAGG